rnacentral:lncRNA from 1 species
UCCCACCCCACAGGUUCACCUGCACACACAAGUCAUGAACUGUUAACGUUGUUAUAUAUAUGAUGUCUCAGCAGCAUAUUUCCUGCUGGUUGCGCAUGAUCCAAUUUCCAUAUCAACUAGCAAAAAGAUCUGUGCUCUAGGACCACGCAUUUACUAGAAUUUUCAGCAUGGAAUUUCAGCUUUGAAAUGUCUGCGGCUGCUUUGACUACUUUAGUAGAGAAAAUAUCCGGCAUCUUCAAUCAAUUUCUUAGCCUCACAUUCUGAUGCGUCUUUUAAACGUAACAUGGAAAUAUUCAUAUGAACUCAUUUAUCUUUCUGGUUCCACAAUCCUUUUUGGAAUUUUUUUUUUUAAAAACUUUUAAUAACUUCCAUCUCACUAGCUCUUAAUAAAUUUUUAGUUCUACUGUUUUCUCAGUUAGUUGCAAAUAAUGGUUGAGCUACAGGGUGAAAUCUUCUUCUUUCAGAGCCAGCAAUUUAUCUGAAGUUGCAAAGGUGGAGGUCUGCUAAGUGGUAGCUCACAAACAAGCUUAAUCUUGUAAGUUACAGAAAUGGCUCUGGGUCCGAUUAAGAAGGUUGUCUUAGGUUCACUUGCCUUCGCUGUCUUUUGGAUUUUGGCAGUUUUCCCAGCAGUUCCUUUCUUACCCAUUGGAAGGACAGCAGGUUCCAUCCUCGGGGCAAUGCUUAUGGUUAUCUUCAAAGUCAUCACCCCUAAGGAAGCAUAUUCUGCCAUCAACCUCCCUGUACUGGGCCUUCUCUUUGGAACCAUGGUUGUAAGCAUCUAUCUUGAAAGAGCAGACAUGUUCAAGCACUUGAGAGUCUUGCUCUCAUGGAAGAGUUGGGGUGCGAAGGACAUGCUCUGCCGGAUCUGCAUUGUUUCUGCUAUUUCAAGUGCUCUGUUCACUAAUGACACCACCUGUGUCAUUCUCACUGAAUUCAUAUUAAAGAUUGCUAGAGAAAACAAUAUUCGACCCGAACCUUUCUUGCUUGGGCUGGCUUCAAGUUCGAAUAUUGGAUCCUCUGCAACUCCAAUCGGCAACCCUCAAAACUUGAUAAUUGCUAUUCAAAGUGGCAUCUCUUUUGGGGAAUUCGUAUUGGGACUUCUUCCCGCGGUGCUUUUGGGCGUCUUUGUAAAUGCUUUAAUUCUUUUAUGCAUGUUUUGGAGGUUGUUAUCUGAUGUUGAGAAAGAUUCAGAUGUCCAUCAGAUUUCGCUUGCUACCAUGUCAUCUCCCAAAUCUUUGGAAUCUCACGAAUGUGAUCCCAUUACAGAACAUGUGACCUCCCAGAUUUCCCCUGUUAUAAACAGGGAUGGAGGUCAUUCCAAGAAUCUUAAAAACAGGUUGAGUGAAUUGGAUAUGUGCAGUGAUUCCUGUGGUGAAAUUGAGCUGAAGAAACCAGUCCUUUCAAAGAAGGAGGCAACUGAUAAUAUGCUUUCUGAAAUAGGAGAGCAAAAGGAGGAAAGAUUUGCAAGGGGUGGAGUACAAGGGACAAUGGAGAUGACGACUGAUUUAGAGUCCGGGCCGCAACAGUCCACCGAAGAAAGUAAAGGCCAGCUGAAUAGAUGGAAGAGAUUGUCAUGGAAGUUGUGUAUUUACCUUGGUACUAUUGGAAUGCUGGUUGCUUUUCUAAUGGGUUUGGACAUGUCUUGGACUGCACUCACAACAGCCCUCAUUUUUGUGAUUCUUGAUUUCAAAGAUGCAGGGCCUUGCCUAGAGAAGGUAAAUCAACAGGUCUUUCACAAAAAUUCUAUUUGCUUUCCUAAAUAUCUUUUCAACAACUGUAAUACUUCCAUGCAGUAUUCGAUUGAGUAAAAAUCUACUUAUCCGUAGUUGCUUGGAUCAGGUUUCAUACUCUCUUCUGGUAUUCUUUUGUGGAAUGUUUAUCACGGUUGAUGGCUUCAAUAAAACAGGAAUUCCUGGCAGUCUCUGGAGCUUGAUGGAGCCUCAUGCACGGAUCGAUCAUGCUAGUGGGAUUGCUGUGCUGGCCAUUGUAAUACUUCUUCUCUCAAAUGUUGCUUCGAAUGUACCAACUGGUAAGUUGAUGCCCUGAUUCUCUUCCUUUGAUUUCACUACAGCACUACGGCUUUAGAGUCUUAUAGAAGGGCAAUAGUAAUUUCCAGUUAAUAUCACUUCAUGGUAGACAAUUGAGGUCUCCAUCUGGUACCUCUGUUUGUUGUUGGAGAUGAGGGUUUUGUUGGGGGUGGGGGGAGAAAUCUUGUUCACGGGAGCAAAUUUAAGAUAAUGUUGGGUAACUGUCUCGAAGAUUGAAAAGACAGAUAAUAAAGAUAAAAAAACUUGUUCUCUUGUCUUUUUUAUUUUUUAAAAAUAGAAAUUUAUUCUAAAAUUAUUUUAAAAAUAUAUUUAUUUUAUAUUUUUGUUUUCAUCUCUUUAUCCAAACAUGUGUCUGUUAUUUCUAUAUUUAUCCUUUUUAUCUUGAAUCUUUAAAAGGAAGAUGAAAAUUAAUAGUAUUAUUGAUAAAUACAAAGUUAGACUUAUUGUUAAAGGAUUUAGACAACAGGAGAGUAUGAAUUAUUUUGAUACAUAUUUACUUGUAUCUAUAAUAACUUCCAUAAGAAUAUUAAUAAUCAUUGCAGUUAUUAACAAGCUUGAAAUACAUCAAAUGAAUUUUAAAAUAAAUUUUUUAAAUGGUGACCUUGAUGAAGAGGUUUACAUGGAAUAACCUGAGAGGUUUCUUGUUAAUAGACAACAAAAAAAAGUUCGUAAGAGUUGUUCAGGGCCAAAAUAAACACAACAAUGAAAACCAAACAAAUUCUCUCGGUAGAUAGCCAUGUGAGUACUAUUGUCUUGGUUUAUAUAAAAAACUAAAUAGUCCAAGACAUCACGCUCACUAUUUGGUUGAGUAAAAUCAAUAGUAUUUCACCAAGGAAGGUUCAAAGUUAAAAGUUAUCUAUCCUAAUAUAGUGAUCUAUCAAAUCAAUAUCUCUCAACAAAUAUUCAAGUCAUUUUAAAACUAGUAAGAUAAUUUUCAUUCAUGUGGAGGAUUGUUGAAAAUUUAUUUAAAGAAUAUGGUUAAUGGGCACAUUUAAGGCCAAAUUAAAAAUAGGAUCUAAAUUUAUUCGAAUUUAAUCUCCAACAUAUGCUCUUUAAUAUAGAACAUUAACAUGAUUUAAAUAAAUUGUGGGUGAAUGAGAAAUUAUUUCAAAGAACCUUUGGUUUGCAUGUUUUGGUGAAACUCAAAAUCCUUUAAAAAACUUUAUCUCGUAUUAGAAAGAAACAAAGUUUUCCUAGUGUUUAUAUAAUGGGUUAUUGAAGAGUUAAGAUUGGGCUCAAAGGGCACCCAAGUUUUUAGAGGGAAGAAGACUUAAACAAAGUGGACUUUGGGCUUAAACUUUUGUGUUGGCUCAACCCGACUUAUACUCAGGCCUGUGGCCUAGACUUGAGUUUGGAUUCAUUGUAAAAUAAUUUUUUGGAUAACAAUAUUUUUUACCAACUUAAAUUUGGGCUUGGAUUUGGUCCAUGAAGAAUUAUUUCUUAUCGUCACGCCCAUUAUUUUGUCCAUCCCAUGAAAGGAAAAAUCUAAUUAGUUUUUCCAGUAAUUUUUCAAAAAAACAUGAAGAUUUUUUUCUCAACUCAAAAGACAUUUGCUCAAGACAAUGUUUUUCCUGAUUUUAGAUACUCUUCCUUUCCUCAAAUCAUAGUGGUUUUUCUCCUUAUUUUUUAAACUUCUAUAUUCCUUCAAAAUCUAGAGCUUAGGUUCAUUUUGAUGAGAGAUUAUUGAAUCCAUCUACUUUGUUUCAAAGAUUUUGUUUAGAAAUGCAUCUAAACUAAGAUGAUGUUGAAUUUUAAAAGGCUUAUUACAAAUAACUUUUGCACCAAGAGAGAAACAAUAAAAUCUAAAUGACAAAUGAUUUAUUAUUAAUUAUAACAAAAGCUUUGUUAUUUAAAGUGCUUUAAUAAAUAAGUACAUUUUUUUAUUUAAACAUAAAUAUAUUGCUUAAUUAGUAUGCAUGUUAGAGUCUUUUAUAUAUAUAUAUAUAUAUAUAUAUAUAUAUAUAUAUAUAUAUAUAUAUAAUGAUAAACUAAACAAUCUAAUAUGUACUUAUUUUUGGCUUACAAGUUCUUUUGCUUGGAGCAAAGGUAGCUACUUCUGCCGCUGCAAUAUCUCCGAGUAAAGAGAAGAAAGCUUGGCUCAUCCUGGCAUGGGUUAGCACAGUUGCUGGAAACCUUUCACUAUUGGGUUCUGCUGCAAACCUAAUUGUGUGUGAACAAGCUCUUCGUGCCCAGCCUAGUUACAAUAUCACCUUUUGGAGCCAUUUGAAAUUUGGUGUUCCAUCCACACUUAUUGUCACUACUAUUGGCUUAACUCUUAUAUAUUGCUAUGAUGUUUGAAGGGCCUAUUUAAAUUGGGCUCUUCUUUAGGCUUUGGAUCUUUAUAAGGUUCUAGGCCCUUCUGCUUGUAAUUAGGUUUUUAUGCAUGUCACUUUAACUCAGAUUUUCAAAGAUGGAUUUAUGUUUUCCUUUUUUUCUGCCAAGGAAGAAGCAAACUUCUCUUUAGAACAGAUGGUGUAAAAGAAAUGAUCUUCCAUUUGUAUACCAUGUUCCACUGCAAUUAUAUGCAGAAAUCCUAGGCAAGGUAUACUAAGUAAUAAGAGCCCAAAAAAGUUGUCAUAAUUUGAUAUUGUUAGACUCACAAUCCUAUAAUGUAAGUAGUGUCAUACCAAGAAAUCAUCAGCAAUUAAUAGUCUUUAAUACCUUAUAUGUAAGCAGGUAUGAUCUUUAUAUCCUAUAUCAUGGUAGUUGCAUCCCUCAUCUUAAAUGUGGGUGACAAAAAGAUUGAAAGUACAAUUUCAUACCUAGGUAGGAAUUCACUAUGAGUUAAUAACACCCUAAUAAAACCUGGCCUGACCCAACAACUCAACUCAAUAACCUGUCAUCUAGAGCUUAGCUUGAACUAGGUUUUACUUUGAAUUAGUUUUUUUUUUUGUCGACCCACCAACUCAUAAAUUAACCCAUCCAAACUAUUAACGUGAUUUAAACUAAGUUAACUACUAGGUUAGAUUUUAUAACUACAGAUCAUGUUAAAUUGUUUGAAUAGCAUCUACUAGCGUCUAUUGUUAGCAACGUGUCAACAUUCUCAAAUCCAUAGGCCAUCCAACCAUAGACAUGAUAGUUGUUGUCAGCUUUAUUAAAAUAACUAAUUUGCAUUGGAAAACAUUAUUCCCCUAGAUUUAGAAUCAUUGUUCAUCAGAAAGUUUAAUGGUGGUUUUGCCCUUCCCACAAAAAAACCAUUGAAUUGUCUAAUAGAGGCAGUACAGUUUUUCCAUAUGGUCCAGUGGUCAUUAUCAUAUUAUUUAGGGACAAGUAAAUCCUUUCACAUUUUAAAAGCAUAAUGAAACAACUAAAAUAUCAUUGGUAGCAGAAAUUUUAAAGCUGGCGUACAGGGGCUCUUUUCUUCUUUUCAUAUUGAUUUUUUUUUGUGAUAAUUAAGUUGGAUAAUAUGCAAUUUGGUAUUUUAAUAAAUAUAAAAUAUAACUAAAAAAACAAAAGUGGUUGGCGCAUAUAAGGCACGCACCAGUGUGUGUGAGGCGCUCACACUAUUCAAGAUAUGCAUGUGGCGCCUCUCAGUGGCAAAAAAAAACCUUUUCACCAUGUCAUUAGAAUAUUUGUGUCAUCAUCUUCCUUUUAGGAUGAAGUGUGGUGUCAGUGGUGGCGCAAUUUAUUGUUGGCAACAUUUUGUUUCUUUUCCCCUCUUUUCUCUCUUUCCCCUCAAAAUUCAUGAUGGCAAUACAAAAAUUAAGAGAGGUCUUAUGUAUUAAGAGCUUGCCAAUUCCUAUAGCUACUUGAUGUGUGUUGUUGAAUAAUCAUAACUGGAAGAGGUCACAUAACAUGAUGUGCUUGUGCUAAAUGUAUAGUGUUAAGGAUCUAUGAUGAGGUAACCCACACAAAAGUAUUGGGAAACCAUAAUGGGGGUGAACCAUACAUAAAAAGAUGUUUGUGGUAUUUGACAGUUUCUAACUGAGAUUUGAACAGUUCUUUCUAGCCUGAAAAUACUGAUGCAAGAACUUAAAAAAAAAUAGAUAUUUUUCAUAGUUAAUUUAAUGUUUUCUAUUCAAUAUUAUUAUGCCUUUUAAUUUUUUUUCCUAUUUAAAGAGAAUAUUUUUCCUAUUCUAUAAUAGGGUUUUUUAGUUUUUCUAUAUAAAGGGUUAUAAUAGUUUUUUGGAAAAUGAAGACUUAGACAAGUAAAAAUUGAAUAUUUUAGGUGUCUCCCCCUAUAUUUAUGAAGAGUUUUGAUUUGUAAUAAAUCUGGUUAUUCUUUGCCCUGUCUAUGUCAAAAACACACAAAUAUCAUAAUAAAACUUGAAAAAAAAGAAAUAUUUAUCAAAACAUUACAUAGUUGUUUUAGUAAAUAGAACUUCUAAAUAAUUUAUUUAUGAUCCAUACAAUCUAAGAGCUAAUAUAUUUAAAAUAAAAUUCAUUAAGGUUAGUUAAUUUUAAAUUAUUUAAUAUAAUUAAUUAUGUAAUUAAAUAUUAAUUAGUUACUAUAAUAGAUCGUUGGUCCACACUACAUUGCAGGCCGGAUUAAAAACAUUUAACGUAAAAAGCAACAUCUAUGCGUUUUUAACAUUUUUCUAGUAGAAAAAAAUUAAAUUGUGUGGGGAUUGACUAAUUGUGACCUGGUUAACUUGGCAAGUUCAAAGACAACCCAGACAACUAAUAAAAAUAUAGUUUCAUUUAAAAAAACUCAAGACGAUAUCUUUUUUAAAAUAUUAAGAUGACAAUAUAUUGGAUCAACUUAGGUCAACCAAUGUUAACCUGCCAAAUCCAACACUCGUGUCAUGAGACCAUGAUAACCCCAUAUAAAGCAAAUCAAAACAAAUUAUGUAGUCUAAUUCCCAAUCAACUCAAUGUUAAAGGAUGAAAUUGAAAAUAAAUAAAUUAAAAAAGACAAAAAAAAACCAACUCGAGUCAACCCGAGUUAACCUGUCAAACUUGCAACCUAAGUCAUAAGAUUGAGAUAACCCUAUAGAAAUCAAAUCAAAAUAAAUUAUGAAGCCCAAUUCCCAAUAAACUCAUUGUUGAAUAAUGAAAUUGAAAAAAAAAUAAAUCCAAAAAAAGAACACAAUAAAAUAACCUGAGCCUACCCGAGUUAACCCGCAAACAAUAACUUCGAUCACGAGACCAAUAUAACCCAAUAAAAAACAAGACAAAACAAAUUAUAAAACUUAAUUCUUAAUUAACCCAUUGUUAAAAUUGAAAUAAAUGUCUAUUAAAAAAAACUUGAGUCAAUUAGGGUAAUAUGCUAAACGAGCAACACGGGUCAUGAGACUAAGAUAAUCACAUAUAAAGCAAACCACAAUAAAUCAUGAAACCCAAUUCUCAACAAACUAAAUAUUAAAGGAUGAAAUUAGAGAGAGAAAAACAUGGAUUAAAAAAAACUAUUGCAAUGAAUAGUAUUGAGUAAGGUGGUGCACAGUAAAAACAUCACCCCUUUUAGUUUUUGUUGAUAAAAAAAUUGAGUUUAUUUAAUUUUAAAAUUUUAAAAUCAUUUUUGUUUUUAAAUAAAAUAAGCAUUUUUCCAUAUCUCAAAAACAUUCCUUCCCAUUCAUUUUAAAAAUAAAAGUUAAUGUUUCUAAUAUGAUUUUAUAAAACCUUAAAAGUUACGCAACAUUUAAAAAAAACUUACUAAAUACAUUUUUUAUGUUUUGCUUUAAAGCAAAGCAAAACAAUAAAGUCUCUGUUUAUUUUUGUAGUACAAUAUAGUGUGGUUUGCGUUUUGCCUCAACCACAUAUUUAAAAAUGUUUGGUUAAUAAACACAUACAAUAGUUUUGCAUACGUUCCAAUGAAAACUCUUUAUUGAAAUCUUGGUUAAGAAAAAGUUACAAUUUGUAGCUUUUCUUAACCUAUGUUUUCAAACCAUAAUCACAAAAACUAUUACAAUGCCAAAGACACACUAAAACCUAGAGAGAUAGGGGAUAUGGUGAGUGGAUGAUGUUGGGAAAUUUCUUCAAUAUUCUUGGCAUAAUAAUGUUUAUUGCAUUAUUUUAUUAGUGGUUAAACUAUUUAGGUUUUGAGGAGAUUAAGGAGACUCCAAGAUAUAAUUUGGUAAAUCAAGCAUAACUUUUAAUCCAACUAUUGGAUUGAGUUAGAAUUUUGACAAAGAAUUUUGAAGGCCAUGUUUCCUAUUAAGUUAAAAAUUCAUGAUGAUUGCAAAUUGAAAAGACCUUUAUAUAAAACUUGAAAGUUAUUGUGCAAGAUUUUUUUUAUUUACCUUAUUAUAUUUGGAUUGUUUUUCUAUUUAUCUAAGGACUUUUAAUUUAAAUAGUAUUUUAUUAUUUAGGAAUCCUAAUGUUAUAUGGAUUCUUUUAGUUAAGUAAGUUUUAAUUAGAAUUCCUUUCCUAUAAAGGAUUCUAGGUAUAAAUAGAGAUGUCUAGUUUAUUAUUUUUCACAUUCAGACUAUUAUUCAAAAUUUAUAAAAUAUCAUUGAGUUUUCUCUAAAUUUCUCUACAACUUAGGCUUGUAAUAUUAGAGCUUAAGGACUCUAGCUUUUAUCAACGUUAUACACCGCGUCAAUACAUAUCAAAGCAGGUUGGUUUUUUUUAUGGUUAAAGAUGGUAGCAACCUACUCCGCGAUGCAGGAGUGAAGGCCCUCUUUUUCUUUUUUUCUUUUUAUCUAGACCCUAGUAUCUAGAAGUCCACUGGACCGCAACUAAUCCGGUUGAGCCAAGUAAGCUAAUUAAAAAGUAAAGCUCUCUUAGUGAUGGUGUACUCCAUUCACAAGGCUCGAACUCGAGACCUUGCUUAAGGGAAACAAGCGCUGAACCACUUGAAUCAACCACCAUUGGUGGAGUGGAGGCUCUCUGAGGCACUAUACGGGCUCGGGAGUAGAAAUUAGAUCGUUGGGAAUGGAGGUUUGAUUGCUUGGAGAAAAUUGUAAUAGAUCUAGCUCAGCUAAUGGGUUUCACAAACAAGGAUCGUGAAGAGGAGAUGAACUUGUCUAGAAAUUUACCUCAAGACAGGCCAAACCCCAAACCCCAUACCUAUUAUUGAAUUCGAUGGGAUUACAUUAUAUGAUAUGAGAUUUUUGAAGAAAGGAUUUAUUAAAAGGUUAACAGAAUUGGAAGUUUACUUUUAUUUCAACAAGGUUCCUUAUCUUCAAAAGGUAGGACUUGUUACACACAAGCUUUAUUAUGGUGCUAGAGAAUGGUGAUUUGAAUUUCUAGACUUUAGAACUCGUAUUGGUACGUCUUUAAUUUCAGUUUGGCAAGAUUUGAGACAAUUAUUAAUUUUGGAGUUUAUACAAGAUGAUUAUUGUUGUUACCCAUUUUUGGGUCCCUACACAUAAAAGGAGAAAAUACAAAAAAAAAAUCAAAAACAUAUAUUCGAAAGAAAACAAAAAAAAUAAUAGUAGUGAGAAGAGGAUGUCGGAGAGCCCAGAAAAUAGCCAAAAAUUGAAAUUUGAUAGUAUAUGUUUUAUUGAUGAAAGACCUGUUGACAAAAAAAAUUCAAUUUGAUAAAGAAAAGUCCAAAAUCAAAUGUUUAUGGACUCAAUUAAAUUUUAUUGAAGGUUUAAUUGAAUUUAUAGAGGGUUUGACUGCAAGAAAAUUGAUUUUGAAGUCAAUUUGAGCUUUAAUUGGAAGAAAUUAAAGUUUAGAGGUCAAAUUAUAAUUUUUAAGAUUUGAUUUGGUCAAAUCAGGGGCUUAAUGACAUAGAUAUUAAAGUUUGAUGGUCAAUUAGGGACUUGAUUAAAGAAAUCUGAAACCAAUGACCAAACUAGAAAAUUGUGCGUAAAUAGAGGGGCUGAAAUUGACUAAAUCAGGGGCCAAAUUGAAAAAAUUAGAAGUUUAUUAAUCAAUUGAGGGUUAAAUUGCAUAAAUUCAAGACUAAGGAUCGAAGCCAACUUCAGGGUCGACGAUUGAAUUUGAUAGGGGUGUAAUUGAAUUGAUUCUUGAAAUCAAAAUUGCAAUUGAGGACUUGAUUAAACAAAUCAUAAAUUAAGGACUGAUUUAGACUUUUGCAUGUUUUUGGCGCCAUUUUUUAAAAAUGAAACGGCGCGUUUUGCACUAAACAACACCAUUUUAGUGCACUGUUCACCACAAAAAAAAGGAAAAGAGGAAAACAGUGUCGUUUUGAACAACAUUGUACUUCUUCUUCUUCUCCUAGACGCACACAGGCAGGGGAAGAAGAAGGAAUUCUCUCCUGUAUUUUCCCUCUCUCUCCCCCCACUUGCUCAAACCCUGACAAAACCCACGCCCUUCAUGGCCUACAACCAUCAUGGAAGGGGUAGAGGAGACAUGCUCUGCAAGCACCUUUGGGGCGACUGUACAAAGGCCACUCCAGCCACCCUACCCUGUCCCAUGACUGGACAGGGGUAAUGUAGCUCCCACUCCCCUACCUUUAUAAAUACUCCCCUCACUAGGUGGUGAGGAUGGUGGGAUGAAAAAACAAAGAUUAUUUAGAAUUGUAUUUGGAUUCUAUUUUCUAUUUAGCUUUGGACUUUAAAUUUAAAUAGUAUUUUAUUAUUCAAGAAUCAUAAUGCUAAAUAGAUUAUAUUAGAUAAUUAAGUUUUAAUUAGGAAUCCUUUUGUGAGGAUUUUAGUUUUAAUUAUAAAUCAUUUCUUAUAAAGGAUUUUAAGUCUAUAAGUAGUAUAUAUAAAUAAGAAUGUCUAGUUAAUUUUAUUCAUAUUUAGAUUUUAUAAAAUACUAAAAUUUUCUCUAAAUUUCUCUCGCAAUUAGAUAUGCAAUUAACUGUAAUACUUCCAUGCAGUAUUUGAUUGAGUAAAAAUCUACUUACCCGUAGUUGCUUGGAUCAGGUUUCAUACUCUCUUCUGGUAUUCUUUUGUGGAAUGUUUAUCACGGUUGAGGGCUUCAAUAGAACAGGAAUUCCUAGCAGUCUCUGGAGCUUGAUGGAGCCUCAUGCACGGUUCGAUCAUGCCAGUGGGAUUGCUGUGCUGGCCAUUGUAAUACUUCUUCUCUCAAAUGUUGCUUCGAAUGUACCAACUGGUAAGUUGAUGCCCUGAUUCUCUUCCUUUGAUUUAACUUCAUAGUACGGCUUUAGAGUCUUAAAGAAGGGCAAUAGUAAUUUCCAGUUAAUAUCACUUCAUGGUAGACAAUUGAGAUCUCCAUGGGAGGAGAAAUCUCUUGAGGCAGUAUUUCUG